CCUACGGGUGGCAGCAGUGAGGAAUAUUGGUCAAUGGGCGCAAGCCUGAACCAGCCAAGUCGCGUGAGGGAUGACGGUCCUAUGGAUUGUAAACCUCUUUUGUCGGGGAGCAAGGCCCGCCACGUGUGGCGGGAAGGAGAGUACACGACGAAAAAGCAUCGGCUAACUCCGUCCCAGCAGCCGCGGUAAUACGGGGGAUGCGAGCGUUAUCCGGAUUUGUUGGUUUAAAAGGGUGCGUGGGCGGAAGGUUAAGUCAGCGGUCAAAUGUCGGUGCUCAACACCGGCCUGCCGUUGAAACGGGUCUGCUUGAGUGAGCGAGAAGUAUGCGGAAUGCGUGGUGUAGCGGUGAAAUGCAUAGAUAUCACGCAGAACUCCGAUUGCGAAGGCAGCAUACCGGCGCGCAACUGACGCUGAGGCACGAAAGCGUGGGGAUCGAACAGGAUUAGAUACCCUAGUAGUC
rnacentral:rRNA from 1 species